UUGCUUCAGCAGCACAUGUACUAAAAAUGGAGCAAUGCAGGGAUUAGCAUGGCCCCUGUGCAAGGAUGACUCACAAAUUCGUGAAGCAUUUCAUAUUUUU
rnacentral:snRNA from 1 species